CUGGUGGUCCCAGCACUGGUCCCAACAACUGGACUAGUCCCGGCACUGGUCCUAGCGCACAGCACUGAUCCCAGCAUCUGGACUAGCCCCAGUGCCUGGACUGUGCCUGGCGCUGGUCCCAGCACUGGUCCCCAGCAUGCAGACAGGUCGCAGCACGGGUCCAGCACUCAGACUGGUCCCAGUGGCCGGUACCAUCCCCAGCAUUGGUCCUGGCACCCAGACUGGUCCCAGUGCCUGGGUACUGGUCCUGGCAUUAGUCGCAACACUGGUUCCAUCCCCGCAGAUCCCCAAGUGCAGGGUCAGACAAGAGCAUGGGACGGGGCGGGGGGGAGGGCUGUCAGCACCCCCUAGACUCCCACAGCA